rnacentral:lncRNA from 1 species
AUGCUGUGCUGCUUUCCCAGGCCUCGAGGCUGCAGCAACAGGACCCCGCGCAGGGAAAGCACUUGGGCGAGAGUGAGAGGAUGGAUGGCUAAGUCCCCAUGUUUCAGGCCGCUCACCAGGAACUGCCUGGCCAUCAGGGGCAGCACAGGGUCCUCCUUUUUUGUCCUCUACUUCUUGGUGCAGCUGCACUCCCAGGAGAAUCCACCACCUGAACUCCUGGCCCAGCUGGAGCAAGCUGAGCCCACUGAGGCACAGCCCACGGGUGAGGAGGAUGGGUGUGGGCCUGUGGGCAUGAGGGGAGGGAUGGGCCUUUAGACACAGAGACAGCUUCCGGGUGCUGGGGUGACCUGGGAUCACUGAGACCUCAGCCGUCAUGGUCUGGGAGGACUUCCUGGGGAGGCUUUG